AGACCCGAAACCCGGUGAUCUAGCCAUGGGCAGGUUGAAGGUUGGGUAACACUAACUGGAGGACCGAACCGACUAAUGUUGAAAAAUUAGCGGAUGACCUGUGGCUGGGGGUGAAAGGCCAAUCAAACCGGGAGAUAGCUGGUUCUCCCCGAAAGCUAUUUAGGUAGCGCCUCGUGAAUUCAUCUCCGGGGGUAGAGCACUGUUUCGGCUAGGGGGCCAUCCCGGCUUACCAACCCGAUGCAAACUGCGAAUACCGGAGAAUGUUAUCACGGGAGACACACGGCGGGUGCUAACGUCCGUCGUGAAGAGGGAAACAACCCAGACCGCCAGCUAAGGUCCCAAAGUCAUGGUUAAGUGGGAAACGAUGUGGGAAGGCCCAGACAGCCAGGAUGUUGGCUUAGAAGCAGCCAUCAUUUAAAGAAAGCGUAAUAGCUCACUGGUCGAGUCGGCCUGCGCGGAAGAUGUAACGGGGCUAAACCAUGCACCGAAGCUGCGGCAGCGACACUCAGGUGUUGUUGGGUAGGGGAGCGUUCUGUAAGCCUGU
rnacentral:rRNA from 2 species